GCCCAGAUGGUGAAAUCGGUAGACACAAGGGAUUUAAAAUCCCUCGGCUGUAAGGCUGUGCGGGUUCAAGUCCCGCUCUGGGCACCA
rnacentral:tRNA from 2 species